rnacentral:rRNA from 1 species
AUACGUAGGUGACAAGCGUUAUCCGGAUUUACUGGGCGUAAAGGGCGUGUAGGCGGUCUUGCAAGUCAGAAGUGAAAUUCCUGAGCUCAACUCGGGCGCUGCUUCUGAAACUGCAGGACUUGAGUGCUGGAGGGGAUAGCGGAAUUCCUAGUGGAGCGGUAAAAUGCGCAGAUAUUAGGAAGAACACCGGUGGCGAAGGCGGCUAUCUGGACAGUAACUGACGCUGAGACGCGAAAGCGUGGGGAGCAAACAGGAUUAGAUACCCCGGUAGUCCUGGCAGUAAACGAUGUAUGCUGGGUGUGAGACUAGCGAUAGUUUCGUGCCGAAGUUAACGCGAUAAGCAUACCGCCUGGGGAGUACGGUCGCAAGAUUGAAGCUCAAAUGAAUUGACGGGG